rnacentral:lncRNA from 1 species
AGGUAAUGUAUCUUGUCUCCUUAGCCGCUUUUCUUCUGUUAAAGGAUUUUAUUUUAAGGCAUUCCAUUAUCGAGGCCACACCUCCUUCCCUUUUCUCUCCUAGGAAAGGAGGAGAUGAAGGGUGCUGCACAUGUUUGUCUCUCUGUCAGGUACUUCUUGACAGUGAAGAAGGAGGCCAAGCUUGGGAGUCAUGGCUCUGGGUUCAAUGUAACUUCUCCACUUACAAGAGGUCCACAGUCUAUUAUCUACAAUUCUGAAGUCAAAAAAGCUCCAAAAAUUGUAUGGUUGGUGUCAAAACUCAUUUGGAGCAAAACCUGUCCAGAGGUGGCAUACAACUAUAUUUAGGAAGACUAAUGAUGCGC